UACGAAGGGGGCUAGCGUUGCUCGGAAUCACUGGGCGUAAAGGGUGCGUAGGUGGCGAGGUAAGUCGGAUGUGAAAGCUCGGAGCUCAACUCCGAAAUGGCAUUGGAAACUACCUUGCUCGAGGGUUGGAGGGGGGACUGGAAUACUUGGUGUAGCAGUGAAAUGCGUAGAUAUCAAGUGGAACACCAGUGGCGAAGGCGAGUCCCUGGACAACUCCUGACACUGAGGCACGAAAGCUAGGGGAGCAAACAGG
rnacentral:rRNA from 1 species